rnacentral:rRNA from 1 species
GGGGAAUAUUGGACAAUGGGCGAAAGCCUGAUCCAGCCAUGCCGCGUGUGUGAAGAAGGUCUUCGGAUUGUAAAGCACUUUAAGUUGGGAGGAAGGGCAGUAAGCGAAUACCUUGCUGUUUUGACGUUACCGACAGAAUAAGCACCGGCUAAAUCUGUGCCAGCAGCCGCGGUAAUACAGAGGGUGCAAGCGUUAAUCGGAAUUACUGGGCGUAAAGCGCGCGUAGGUGGUUCGUUAAGUUGGAUGUGAAAUCCCCGGGCUCAACCUGGGGACUGCAUCCAAAACUGGCGAGCUAGAGUAGGGCAGAGUGUGGUGGAAUUUCCUGUGUAGCGGUGAAAUGCGUAGAUAUAGGAAGGAACACCAGUGGCGAAGGCGGCCUACUGGGCACCAACUGACGCUGAGGCUCGAAAGUAUGGGUAGCAAAC